rnacentral:rRNA from 1 species
AGUGAACGCUGGCGGCAGGCCUAACACAUGCAAGUCGAGCGGCAGCGCGGGGGCCACCCUGGCGGCGAGCGGCGGACGGGUGAGGAAUUCGUCGGAAUCUGCCCUUUUGUGGGGGAUAACGUAGGGAAACUUACGCUAAUACCGCAUACGUUCUACGGGAGAAAGAGGGGGACCGCAAGGCCUUACGCAGAAAGAUGAGCCGACGACCGAUUAGCUAGUUGGUGGGGUAAAGGCCCACCAAGGCGACGAUCGGUAGCUGGUCUGAGAGGAUGAUCAGCCACACUGGGACUGAGACACGGCCCAGACUCCUACGGGAGGCAGCAGUGGGGAAUAUUGGACAAUGGGCGCAAGCCUGAUCCAGCCAUGCCGCGUGUGUGAAGAAGGCCUUCGGGUUGUAAAGCACUUUUGUCCGGAAAGAAAUCCCUGGAGCUAAUACCUUCGGGGGAUGACGGUACCGGAAGAAUAAGCACCGGCUAACUUCGUG